rnacentral:rRNA from 1 species
CUGAUCCAGCCAUGCCGCGUGUGUGAAGAAGGCCUUAUGGUUGUAAAGCACUUUAAGCGAGGAGGAGGCUACUAGUAUUAAUACUACUGGAUAGUGGACGUUACUCGCAGAAUAAGCACCGGCUAACUCUGUGCCAGCAGCCGCGGUAAUACAGAGGGUGCGAGCGUUAAUCGGAUUUACUGGGCGUAAAGCGUGCGUAGGCGGCCAUUUAAGUCAAAUGUGAAAUCCCCGAGCUUAACUUGGGAAUUGCAUUCGAUACUGGAUGGCUAGAGUAUGGGAGAGGAUGGUAGAAUUCCAGGUGUAGCGGUGAAAUGCGUAGAGAUCUGGAGGAAUACCGAUGGCGAAGGCAGCCAUCUGGCCUAAUACUGACGCUGAGGUACGAAAGCAUGGGGAGCAAACAGGAUUAGAUACCCUGGUAGUCCAUGCCGUAAACGAUGUCUACUAGCCGUUGGGGCCUUUGAGGCUUUAGUGGCGCAGCUAACGCGAUAAGUAGACCGCCUGGGGA